rnacentral:rRNA from 1 species
GAUGAACGCUGGCGGCGUGCCUAAUACAUGCAAGUCGAGCGAACAGACGAGGAGCUUGCUCCUUUGACGUUAGCGGCGGACGGGUGAGUAACACGUGGAUAACCUACCUAUAAGACUGGGAUAACUUCGGGAAACCGGAGCUAAUACCGGAUAACAUUUUGAACCGCAUGGUUCAACAGUGAAAGACGGUCUUGCUGUCACUUAUAGAUGGAUCCGCGCCGCAUUAGCUAGUUGGUAAGGUAACGGCUUACCAAGGCAACGAUGCGUAGCCGACCUGAGAGGGUGAUCGGCCACACUGGAACUGGGACACGGUCCAGACUCCUACGGGAGGCAGCAGUAGGGAAUCUUCCGCAAUGGGCGAAAGCCUGACGGAGCAACGCCGCGUGAGUGAAGAAGGUCUUCGGAUCGUAAAACUCUGUUAUUAGGGAAGAACAAAUGUGUAAGUAACUAUGCACGUCUUGACGGUACCUAAUCAGAAAGCCACGGCUAACUACGUG